rnacentral:rRNA from 1 species
UACGGGGGGGGCAAGCGUUGUUCGGAAUUACUGGGCGUAAAGGGCUCGUAGGUGGCCAACUAAGUCACACGUGAAAUCCCUCGGCUUAACCGGGGAACUGCGUGUGAUACUGGAUGGCUUGAGUUUGGGAGAGGGAUGCGGAAUUUCAGGUGUAGCGGUGAAAUGCGCAGAUAUCAGGAAGAACACCAAUGGCGAAGGCAGCUCUCUGGGACGGUACUGACGCUGAGACGCGAAAGCGUGGGGAGCGAACAGG